AUUAAACGCUGGCGGCAUGCCUUACACAUGCAAGUCGAACGGCAGCACGGGAGCGAUCCUGGUGGCGAGUGGCGAACGGGUGAGUAAAGCAUCGGAACGUGCCCUGGAAUGGGGGAUAACGUAGCGAAAGUUACGCUAAUACCGCAUAUUCUGUGAGCAGGAAAGCAGGGGAUCUUCGGACCUUGCGUUUCAGGAGCGGCCGAUGUCGGAUUAGCUAGUUGGUGGGGUAAAGGCCUACCAAGGCGACGAUCCGUAGCGGGUCUGAGAGGAUGAUCCGCCACACUGGAACUGAGACACGGUCCAGACUCCUACGGGAGGCAGCAGUGGGGAAUUUUGGACAAUGGGCGCAAGCCUGAUCCAGCCAUGCCGCGUGAGUGAAGAAGGCCUUCGGGUUGUAAAGCUCUUUCGGCCGGAAAGAAAUCGCAUGGGCGAAUACCCUGUGUGGAUGACGGUACCGGCAUAAGAAGCACCGGCUAACUACGUG
rnacentral:rRNA from 1 species